UAUAUAAAUUCUAUUUAAAUCCCAAUAUUAUUAAAGAUGCAUACAAAUAAUUAAGAUUAAAUAAAAAAGUUAAUAAAAAUUAAGAUAAAAUUUUAGAUAAAUUUUUACCAAUUACUCCACUCAUAUCAAGAUCAAUAUCACUUUCUUCGCUUUCUGGUUCCGGUUCUGGUUUUGGUUCAGGUUCUUUAGAUGCAUUUGCAUCGUUUGAGUUUUUGUUUGUUGGUAUAUUAGUUAAAUGCGGAUUUGUUUCUGGUACAUGUCCUCCAAAAUAUUCAAUGAAUUUUUUUAUGAAAUAAAAUCUUUGCUCAUUUAACAUAGAAGGAUUUAUC